rnacentral:rRNA from 1 species
GAUGAACGCUAGCGGCAGGCUUAAUACAUGCAAGUCGAGGGGGCAGCAGGUCCCGCAGCAAUGCGGGAUGCUGGCGACCGGCAAACGGGUGCGGAACACGUACGCAACCUUCCUUUAAGUGGGGGAUAGCCCAGGGAAACUUGGAUUAAUACCUCGUAAUAUUAUAGAGUGGCAUCACUUUAUAAUUAUAGCUCAGGCGCUUAAAGAUGGGCGUGCGACUGAUUAGGUAGUUGGCGGGGUAACGGCCCACCAAGCCUACGAUCAGUAACUGGUGUGAGAGCACGACCAGUCACACGGGCACUGAGACACGGGCCCGACUCCUACGGGAGGCAGCAGUAAGGAAUAUUGGUCAAUGGACGCAAGUCUGAACCAGCCAUGCCGCGUGGAGGAUGAAGGUCCUCUGGAUUGUAAACUUCUUUUAUCU